AGGAAUUCCUGGAGGAAUUUCCGGAGGAAUUCCUGGAGGAAUUCCCGAAGGAAUUCCUGGAGGAAUUUCCGGAGGAACUCCCGGAGGAAUUUCCGGAGGAACUCCCGGAGGAAUUCCUGGAGGAAUUCGGAGGAACUUCUCGAGGAAUUUCCGGAGGAAUUCCUGGAUGAAUCUCCGGAGGAAUUCCUAGAUAAAUUUCCGUAGGAAUUCCUGGUGUUUAUCUUCGAAAAAUUAACCCCGGAACCACCGGAACCGAUUCCCGGGAUAUCUGAAUACCGGUUCUACAAUGGCCAACAGUAUUUCAGACAACGCCAAAACAGCACAGAAUGAUGCAUCUUGAAAAAUCAUGAAGUUUGAGGUGUCGCAUGAUGGGAAUGAAUCAUAUUCAAAAAUUGACCCCGGAACCGGUUCCUCGGAACAUCCGUAAAACGGGUUCCAAGGCACGUAGUGACCGGGAUGGACUUCUAAACAAUUUUUUCUAUCAUUCUAGUGCACUUAGGUCUGAAAACUGAACGGCUCUCAUAUCGAAAAUUUACUUUUUCCAAAAUGGCCAAAUCGAAUGACCCAUUUUGAUUCCGGAAUAACUCCGGAACCAGGUGGCCAUUCCAACAAUCCCUAGCAAAUCCUUAAAAAAGAAGGAUAUCCGCUUAUUGUGUCAAAAUUUGGUCGAAAAAUAUUGAAAAACAAAAAAGUUAUAACGAAAAGAGUAUUUUUUCGCACUCUCGUUAGGGGGGGUUGGUAACGGAAGGGUUAACUGAAUAUAGGAUUGUAUCUCUUGUGCUCAGCUUUUGUUCAAACGAAGGCUGCUUUAAAUAGUUUGAAAAACGCUUGAACAGCAUCAUAUUGUUGCCAGGGAUACCCUUUAACCUAAAUCUCUUUCUUACCCUCUACUCAGUCUACUCUAAUCCUCACCUCUACCCGACCGUCUACGCUACUUUCUGCCCUAUCCACUACCUUGCCAUUUAGCCUUAAUAGCCAAAUAUCGAAUUUUGACUUCUACUUAUCCAGCCCGAUUGAUGGAUGCUUAUAUUUCAUGGUAUCAUAGCUCAAACCACCAUUCCGUGGCAGCCAUCUUGGAUUACGGUCCGCAUAUUGGAAUUCAAAAUGACGUCGAACAUCGAUUUUUGGCUUCUACUGAUCAAGCCCGAUCAAUAGAUUACACCCGAGCAGAAGAAAAUACCAAUAGCAUAAUAAAAUAUGUUAUUUUGGCUUAAUAUCUGAAUAAUGAAAUCAGUAAUUUAUAUGUUAUUAGCAAAACUUAUUAUGUUAUAAACAUGUCUGUCAUAAGCGGCAACAUAACAAAUAUCAUAACAAAAAAAUGUUCCUGGAAGACUAAUUUAAUAACAUGUUCUGUUAGAUCCAUAUCAAUUCAAUAACAGGAAAUUAAUGAACAUGUUAUUGUUGGGUUAUUGUUCAUCACAUAUUUCCAUAUUUGUACAUUCUCUAGUAGUAUAAUAACCUUAAGCUUGUUCUACACAAAAUAUAUUAUUGAAAUGUUAUCCUGUGGAUGUAUCCCAAAAACAUCAACAUAACAAAAUAAAAUAGCCCAACAAAACAUGUUAUUAAAAAGAUUAUUUUGAUAAGUUAACAAUAACAAAUUAUGAUAUAAAAACAGGCUAUGUGAUUAUGUUGUUUUCCUCUGCUCGGGCAAAUUUACGAUUUUAGCGUUACGUAAUAAAUGGAUGCUGCCUUAGAGGGUUCGAAAAGUCGGUACAAGAUACAUUCUAGAGUUUUUGUCGCCAUCUAGGAACCCAAGCCGCAAUCUUGAAUUCCAAUACUUCUGUUCCGCAAUAUGCGAACGCGCCUCUAUUGCCAGCGAAGUCCAGAGUGACGACCAUCACACGUGUGGCUCUCGCGGAUAACAUUUUACCUACUGGGACUCGAUGCAGUAUAGGAACGAUGAGAAAGUGCGAUCGCGAUGUAGAACCAAAACAAAAAUUAUAACCAAAAGACAUUCCUUGUUGUAAACAGAUUUGAAUCUUAAUCAUUGAAAGUUUUUCUAAUAAUUAGUGAAGUGGACUAGAUUAAAACUUGUUAGUUAGCCAAGAAAAUUGCAGAUUGGAGGAAGCUACUGAUUAGCAUAUCACAGCUGGAAGAUCACAGAUGGUAGGUUGGCCUCGAAAGUCAUCGCGACUGGCAGUAAAAUUAAGGUAAUCUAUAAUAGAAUUGAUUCGAAACCAAUCAGAAAUUUGCUUACGAUAAACCUAUGUACAGGAAUAACAACAACCGUACGAUACCGCUUUCCGGACGUAAUGGAAUAACAGAGUAUACACUAAACGUAAGUACACAUUAAAAAACAGUGUAUUAUAUGAAGAGGUGCAUAAUUGUAAUUUAUAUUCAUAGGAAAAAUUUAACAAACAAACCAAAUCACAAUAAAUACCACGUACUUGAACUUUGUGAAAAGGCGAGUCUGUUUAUAUUUGCGGAACCCAGCUCUACCGUAUUGUUGCCACUUUUUGGUAACAACUCCUAUAACCACCUUCAAGGCCUAAGGAAAAUGUAGGGUAGAUAAUCAAAAUUUGAACCAAAUUGCGGCUUUCUGAAGCAGUGCAAAUUUUAAGUGGAAAUAAUUUACUACAGCAAAAUCGUAUGUACAUGAAAGCCACGGGUAUAAGCUUUCUGUUAAAUAGUAAAAAGUUUGUAUUUGCACCGAAUUUCAUCGAAAUAUUUGAUUUUUCAUCAACAAUGAUUUUAAUCUUAAUUUGAACCAUCAUAAUCAUAAUUUGAACUACUGACAGCAGCACCUCGAGCAACUCACAAAACAGCCAAUUCUAUGCUAAACAAUUAAAAAUCACAUGAAUCUGCUAAUUCUCAUAUCUAUUUUUCAUUAGGCGGUGGAAUCUCAACUCAGAAUGUUCGAAAUUCUUUAGGAAUUUGGAAACUAAAUUUGGAAUUUUUCAUCCCCCAAGAGUAAACAAAGCAACCACUAGCGCAAUCUACAGGCCAACACUAGAAGCUCACCCCCGUUUACUAGUUCAAAUUUAGAUUACAAAUGGUUCAACUUAAGAUAUCAUUCUCCAAGUAAGAAUCACUUAAAUUUGAUAAUUUUAUGACAAAUAAUGCGGAAUAUUGUUCGGUUGGUCGAUUCUACGAUAAAUAAGCUUUCAUUUGACGUGUUCACAUAUUGCGUGUGAUACAAUGCAUAAGCUGUACGAGUGCACCGAAAAUGUGCUUUCUCUUGGGGGAAAUGGGUGAUUUCACAGUGAUUUUUCAAUUGCCUGUUUUCCAUGACAAAAACGCUUUUUUCAAUGCUUUUAAAGUCCAUGUUAUCAGGUUAUAUUACGGAAAGCUGUUUAACAUCUUUUCCGGGAAAAUAUUUGCCUGAAAAGUACGUCGUUUUAAUGAAUUUUUAAAUGGUUCAAAUUAAGAUUACAAUUUGACUAGUUCAAAGUUUGAUUUGCCUAUGCCUAAUUUGGUUGAAAUUGGUUGAGGCAUUCCAGAGUAAGAUCUGGCGAACGGGAUGCUGUAAAAAGCUGAAAUUUUGAUAUUUCAUAAAUCAAAGUUUGAUUAGUAAUCAGUCAAAAACUCAGCUUUAUACAACACUAAGACCGCCAGAUAUUUGUUUAAGAAUUUUCAGAUCACGACUUUGGAUAAUCGAGUUCGACCUGUACUACGGGGGAAGGGGCGUCUGAAAUGGCCAAAAUUUGGCCCCAAGUAAGUAAUCAACAAGUAGCAUUUUCAGAUCAAUUUGUUUGAUGGAUCUCCAGUUUUUUUGUUCUUCCACCUUAUAACCUAAUUUACAGCUCUUUUGUUCACUUGGGCAGCGUUGGCGAUUCCAAUUAGCAGCUGCACUUACACUUUGUACAGCGCCUAAAUGUAUUCUAUUCUAAUUCUACUUUAUCGAACUGGUUGCCUUUGCGCUGCUGUCACUUUUCUACCCUGUUCAUGGUAGAAUGAUGAGUACGAGGAUGUUGAUGUGUGGCUCUUGUUCCUUUUCCAGCCCGAUUGGGGGUCCAUUAUGAAUUGCCGUUAGCCGAUAUCCUAGUUUCCGGGUUCGUUAGAGCAUAUGCUCAGAAGAGGGUCAGGUGUCAGCCGCUCUCGGGAGGAAGAGCAACUGGUAAAAAAUUGCAAGUACUGGGGCCGGGAUUGAACACAUGACCAUCCACUUAUGAAGUGCACGUGUGACCACUACGCCAGAUUGUGUUGGAGAAAAUUCGAGUGGAAUGGAAGGCGGCCAUCUUGGUACUCUAUCCUUGUCCUUAAAAUUCGAUAUUCAAAGAUGUCUGGUGUACGUGCACUUUCUUUUGCUGCCGUUUUCAUGCGGUGGAAAUGCGACCGUAACAGUAAUCGUAUAUGGAAGUUAUGGUUGUAAUGUACCCGAAUGAGGAGUACGUGAAGAACGAGGUAGUUACGACGAAGUGCGUCGUCGUACCUAUGUACUCAGCUGAUUUUUCCAGCUGAUGCAAUGAACUUUACUCAGCUGUGCCGGAUUAAGUUUUCAAUUUGUUGUACAUAUUUGGCAUUCUGAACAUUCGGCUUGCAACAGAGUUCGUCGUUGACACAGUUGAUUUGACUUCUCAUUCUCUGAUAAGAGUGCUUUUUUGAUUGAAAAUGCACACAUAUCUAGGGGACUUAUUUAUAUUACCUACACAUGUUGCCGACUAACAUCAUAAAUGGGUUCUUUGACCCAAUAAACGAAUAAACUCGUUGAUAAUACCUGCAUUUCACCGCACAAUCAAAAUUUAGACUCCUGUGUGUAUGUCAAGAAGUCAGUCAGCUUUCCGUCUGUCCGUCUGUCAACUGGCUAGGCUACCGACGCGACGCGUCGCGUCGAUUAGACAGACAGUUGUGAUUAAUCCACCGCGCGCUGUCCAAUACCAUCGCGCCGAGUCGCUAGGCCACCAAUAAUGCGCGUGCUGAUUGUGAGCGUUUGUUGAAGAAAAUAAAAAUUGUGCCGCGCGCGACUACUGUGGCAUCUGCGUUUCGCGCUGAAAAGUUCGUUGAACCUUUCCUUUUCUAUUCGGUUGUUUAUGGACGGGAGCGGGGCACGAGGGGUCCGGUUUGGGUGCCGCCUCACCAGUGCAGCUCCACUGUGGUGUGCACACGCGACGUUGUUUAGGGGGUGUUGGUAUAAAAGGACCGGUUUGGGUUGAAACUACUUAUCUUAAACGCGAUGAGAGUUCCCAAGACACAACAAAUGCUGAACAGUGAGAGUUGCAUGAUUUUGAUUGGUAUCAUGACUGAACAUAAUGACAGCUUUUUUGUUUUAUUCCAGUCAAUUUUAAUUCACCCACUCCAAUCUUCUGUAAUCUAUUAUACUCUACUAUACUACACUUUACUCUAUUUUUGUCUACUCUAGUCUAAUUUAGGCUACUACACUCUACCCUGCUCUACUUUAAUCCAUUCUAGGUUUCUCUACUUUACUCUAGUCUACUCUAGUUCACUCUACUUUACUCUACCCUAGUGUACUCUACUUUAGUGUACUCUAGUCUACUGCAGUCCACUCCCUACUCUAAUCAGCUAUAAUCUGACUCUACUUUAUUCUACUCUUCUCUUUUCUGCUCUUUUUCUACUGCCACUGCACUCUACUCUAUUCUACUCUAGUUUACUUUUACUUUACUACUUUACUUUACUCUAUUCUAAUUUAUUUUACUUCAGUCUCCUUAAGUCUAAUCUAGUCUGAUCUACUUUACUCUACUCUACUAUACGAUAAUCUACUCGUUCUACUCUGUUCCAAUCUAUUCUACUCUAGUAUACUCCACUCUACUCUACGUUUACUCUACUUUACUCCACUCUACUCUAGUUCGCACUACUUUACUCUACUCUAAUGUAUUCUUCUAUCUAAACUACUAAUUUACUCUAAUCUGCUUUAGUCUACUCUACUUUGCUAUACUCUAUUGUAUUCCAGUCUACUCUAGUUGACUCUACUUUACUCUACUAUACACUACUCUACUCUACUCUACUCUACUCUAAUCUAAUCUAUUUUAGUCUACUCUAGUCUACUCUAGUCUACUCUAGUCUACUCUAGUCUUCUCUAAUCUUUUCUACCCCAGUCUACUCUAGUCUACUUAAGUCUACUUUAGUCAACUCAACUCUACUCCACACUCAUCUACUCUACUCUUCUAUACCGUUCCCUGCUGUACUCCUGAAAGCAGAUGCAUUUCACCCAGCUUUCCCCAAUAGGCUGCCUAUAUCAAACGGCUACGAGGCAUGACAACAACGCAGGGGUAUGGCGACGCACUCGUCAAUCAGCACAACACCUCCCGAGCGAGCGGUUUUAUGGCACCAAGCACCAAACACCAGACGCGAACUGGUAUGAUGAUGAUGUUGAUACCGAAGAUGUUAUCAUAAACGUUCGUUAAUACGGCUCGUUGGUGGAUAGGAACGCGAUCUUACGCGUGUUUUGAACGGUAUGCAACACCAUCGCAUCGACCGCGACCGGGAAGAAGACCAAAUGUUUGAGAUAUUAGAGAUGCUAUGUUUAGAGAAGGAAAAAAGUAGGUCGGUUCGGUCGUUGCCAUUGGAGUUGUUUAGUAGAGGGUGGAAUGUUGAAUAAAUUUCUGUGAAUGAAGUGUAAAUUUGCGUGAUACUUUGGGAAAAAUACUAACUCGAUAACAACAAUACAUAUGGAGCAGACCUAAUAUUGUCCUAAUGACAUGCACUAUUCUUUUUACCCUGGCCAAGUUCGCAGGGUUUGACGGUAUUAAAGUGAAGGUUAUUGUAAUGUAGUAUUCUUUAGUGAAUCAUAUCACCUUUUUAACACUUUAAUGCGCCUCCAACGGUUCAUCACGAACCGGCUGCUGCAGAUGGAGUAUGGCUGAUCAUAUGUUUUUGCAUAUUCAUCAGACAUGCUCGAUAAACACGGAGGGACCGCCGGGGCUCAAUAGAUUCUAUACCCAAGCAAUAGUUCCAAGUUAGUUGGAUUUAAGAAGGUUUUGAGGAUCGUUACAAAUCCUACUACAAAUAUUAUAGGUUUUGUAACAGGUUUUGAAAACUUUUUUGCCAGUAGACUUGAAAAUGCUGUUUGGGCUUUCUUUCCCACGUUUUUUGGUUGAUUUUGAUUUACUACUAAAUUUACAAUAAUUUGAGCAAUUUACAAUAAUUAAAUAUAUUUAAAUUAGUAAUUUUAUCAAAACAAAUUUAUUUUUUUUUUCGAUAUUACGAUGAUAUCCAGUAAUAUUCUCUUUAUAUAAAUCUGGUAAAAUCAACCGAAUAGUAGGAAGGAAAGUUGCAGCACAUAAUAGUGCUGAUAGAUUCGAAGCUAACGUGCGAACAAUGGAUUACUGCACGAUACUACUGGCCUGCUUGCUCUCACACAUGGUUUGACGUUUGAGCGGUGACGACACCGCUCAAACGCCAAAUUAUCUUUGGGAGUGAGCGGGCCGGCCCAAGUUCGUGCAGUGGACCAUACUUUAACACUUUAUUGACGUCAAUGCGUUCGACGUGACAUUUUGGACAAAAUCUGAUUGUUUCUAAGCUGAAUGACGUUACUUGUGUAUGACUAGGCUGACAUUUCUAGGUUACGGGGAGAAAAUGACUUGGUUUAUCUAGGUAGGACCGAUAGGACAAAUGAACGGAUUGGCCCUGUUUUAAUAGUUAGGUUGUUUUCGUUUCUCGUAUCAUUGGAAGCCCAUCCAUGACAUGUUCAAAACUAGUGUCUAUCAUUGGGGAUGGCGCCAGUGCUGUAGGUGGCUACCAACAUAGGUGUUAUCGCAGUAAUGGUUGUUGUCUUCAAUUGGUAUUUGACCAUAAUUAAUUCAACUAUACAUUUUACAUAAUAUUUCUUGGAGAUAGCAUAGGCACAGUUGUCAACAUAGACAGCAUUUUGUGUUAUGUUAUUUCCAAGAAGUAAUAUCAAGGAUAUAAACAUUCCUGGUGCUUCAGGUUUCGCGGGUAAAGAUUUAUUCUGAUAGCUUCAUAUACUUCACAUGACUGAGGGUAGACAGACAUGACUAAUACAUCUACGGGAGGGAAAAUGCAAAAUUUUGAUUAAAACUACUUAGGCACAAUGUAAAAACUAGUGUUAAAUUGGGCAACAUAGCCUAUUCCGUCUAAACAUUGGUCUUGGUAGAGAUGAAAUUUGAAUAACGGGUUCAGCCUUGACAAUCAAGCUGUCACGCAGCUCCAACUGAAAACCCAUUAAAAAAAAAAAAAAAAAAAAAAAAAAAA